rnacentral:rRNA from 1 species
UGGGGAAUAUUGGACAAUGGGCGCAAGCCUGAUCCAGCCAUGCCGCGUGAGUGAUGACGGCUUUCGGGUCGUAACCUCUGUCACCCGGGAUGAAUCAAUUGACAGUACCGGGAGAGGAAGCCACGGCUAACUACGUGCCAGCAGCCGCGGUAAUACGUAGGUGGCGAGCGUUAUUCGGANUUAUUGGGCGUAAAGGGUUCGUAGGGGGUUGGCUAAGUCGGAUGUGAAAGCCUGCGGCUCAACUGCAGAAUGCCAUUCGAUACUGGCUGACUAGAGGAUCGGAGAGGAGAGUGGAAUUCCUGGUGUAGCGGUGGAAUGCGUAGAUAUCAGGAGGAACGCCGAUGGCGAAGGCAGCUCUCUGGACGAUACCUGACCCUGAGGAACGAAAGCCGGGGGAGCAAACAGGAUUAGAUACCCUGGUAGUCCCGGCUGUAAACGGUGUAGACUCGGUGUAGGGGGAGUUAGUCCCCUCUGUGCCUAAGCUAACGCGAUAAGUCUACCGCCUGGGGAGUACGGCGGCAACGCU